UACAGAGGGUGCGAGCGUUAAUCGGAAUUACUGGGCGUAAAGCGCGCGUAGGCGGCUUUGCAAGUCGGGUGUGAAAUCCCCAGGCUUAACCUGGGAACUGCAUUCGAGACUGCAUUGCUAGAGUAUGGGAGAGGGAAGUGGAAUUUCCGGUGUAGCGGUGAAAUGCGUAGAUAUCGGAAGGAACAUCAGUGGCGAAGGCGGGUAGCUGGGCCAACACUGACGCUGAUGCGCGAAAGCUAGGGGAGCAAACGGG
rnacentral:rRNA from 1 species